AUACGGAGGAUCCGAGCGUUAUCCGGAUUUAUUGGGUUUAAAGGGUGCGCAGGCGGCCAUUUAAGUCAGCGGUUAAAUCGUGGGGCUCAACCCCAUUCUGCCGUUGAUACUGGGUGGCUUGAUUGCGGUCGAGGUUGGCGGAAUUCGUUGUGAAGCGGUGAAAUGCAUAGAUAUGACGAAGAACACCGAUUGCGUAGGCAGCUGACCAGAUCGCAAAUGACGCUCAUGCACGAAAGUGCGGGGAUCGAACAGGAUUAGAUACCCUGGUAGUCCGCACAGUAAACGAUGAAUACUUGUUUUCGGCGAUAUAAUGUCGGAGGCAAAGCGAAAGCGAUAAGUAUUCCACCUGGGGAGUACGCCGGCAACGGUGAAACUUAAAGGAAUUGACGGGG
rnacentral:rRNA from 1 species